CCUACGGGAGACAGCAGUGAGGAAUAUUGGUCAAUGGGCUUACGCCUGAACCAGCCAAGUCGCGUGAGGGAAGACUGCCCUAUGGGUUGUAAACCUCUUUUGUCAGGGAGCAAUUGGCGCUACGUGUAGCGUUAUCGAGAGUACCUGAAGAAAAAGCAUCGGCUAACUCCGUGCCAGCAGCCGCGGUAAUACGGAGGAUGCGAGCGUUAUCCGGAUUUAUUGGGUUUAAAGGGUGCGUAGGCGGAAUGCCAAGUCAGCGGUAAAAUCGCGGGGCUCAACCUCGCUCCGCCGUUGAAACUGGCGGUCUUGAGUGGGCGAGAAGUAUGCGGAAUGCGUGGUGUAGCGGUGAAAUGCAUAGAUAUCACGCAGAACUCCGAUUGCGAAGGCAGCAUACCGGCGCCCAACUGACGCUGAAGCACGAAAGCGUGGGUAUCGAACAGGAUUAGAUACCCCGGUAGUC
rnacentral:rRNA from 1 species